CAUGUUGUAGCUCAAUGAUAGAGCACCUGCCUGGGAUGUAUGAGGCACUGGGUUCAAUCCUCAGCAACACAU
rfam:Ictidomys tridecemlineatus contig108990, whole genome shotgun sequence.